rnacentral:tRNA from 1 species
UGCAUCGGCCGGGAAUCGAACCCGGGCCGCCCUUGUGGCAGGCGAGCAUUCUGCCACUAAACCACCGAAUGU